UUUUCUUCCUCAUGUUUUAAAUUAUUUGUAGGAUUAUUUCUAGACACAACACCCUCUACUAUGUUGUCAUUUAUAUUCUGUAAACUAUUCUAUUAGCAUAUACACUCAGAAUUUCAGCAAUAUUUUCUAAGUUAGGUUGUUUAGCUUAGAUAUUGUGGAGAUUGUGUGAUGAUGAAUUACCUCUUGCCCCUCGGGUUUAUUGAAAAAACCAAAUUGCCCUCUAUGAUUGAGUAAAAAAAUGAAGUUGUCUGAGUAUUGAGGCUGUAGGUUGUAGUU